UCUAAACAAAUUCCAAAUUAAAUUGGUUGAGUUGGCUACAACAUACAAGGGGUUUGUGCCACCCACAGAAAGGAAUCAAGGACACACAUGGAUGAACCCUAUCUAAUGGAUGCUGAAGAGAGACAAGAAUGGAGGAGAAAGAUUAGAGAUUUGAUCAUUCAGUAUCAUGAUUUGGAGGAGAAAAUUGAUCCCAAUAAGAAGAGGGAAGAAAUGCAGAAGCUUUAAUACUGUGGAAGAAUACGACCCUAAUCGGCCUGAGUAUGCCGAUGGGUUUAGACAUCAGUCCCUUAAUUAUUCUUCUGCGUAAUCGGCUAUAAAAAGCUCUUUGUUACAUGUACAGUUGAUCAUGACACUCUACCCAGUUUCUUCUGGCUUUGAGCUGUGCAGCUAGUACCAUAGUUCCUCUAUGACGCUUGGAGGAAAAAUGCUUCAGUCAACUCUGUAAGAAAUUGCCAAUAUUUUAGAGAACUUCAAAUUGUGUAUGAUAUACAUUGAAUUAGCAACGCAUUCGAAGGUUAAGCUUCAAAAUUUUUUCCUAAACAAAAAAUUGUUUGCUCCAAUUGAAUCUGAAGUUACAAAUCUUUGUAUAGCAGCGAGGUCUGCUCUCCACUAUAUGACCUGGAUGAUAUUGAGCAAUCUCAUCUCUUUACAGAUAUCCUAACAAAUCCGAGGUCUCGAGCAAAACAUAUUCUCGGGAAUCAACCUCAUUCAUUGCUCAAAGAUGACCUAGUUCAUCUUCGUGAACCUGUUUUUUUUCUUGGGUGCUGUUUUGAUGUUUUGUCCCAUAAAUGGUCUUCUAUGUUUCCUUCCUUAAUAGAAUAAACUCAAUUUGUAGCCUUCAUUGGUAAUAAGGAGAUCCAAAUAAUCAGAGUUGGUCAUUUUGGUUUUUGGUUUAUUCUUGACAUUACCAUUGUUGUCAACGUCAUCAACAUUGCUAUACCAUUUUUUUACUCAUAAUGUUUUACAAGGUUUGACAUUGUAAAUGAAUUGUUUUGCUGUCUUGGCCUUUGGCUGUGAGGUUGCUGCAAGAGCGUUGCUGUAAAUUACACUGUCAUGACUUUCAUUGGACAAUUCUCAAAAUCUUUAGUCUAUUUUAGGAUAAUUUGUUGUUCUCAGCAAUGCUUAAAUAAGUAUAGGCCAAUACUAUCAAACAAUUUGUUGUUGCGGUUGAUGCCAUGCCGUCGUUGAGGUUGAUUUGGCAUCUGCCCUUAAAGUGUCCGUCUUUCCAGAGAUUAUCUUCACAACAGCUGGGAAAAUCUUAUACCGUGAGAAAGGUUUUAAGUAUGAAGCAAUGGGAUUGUGAUACAGUGCAAAAACAGGCCAAAGCAUUGAUAUAACUAGCAAUAUUUGCUUUGAUUACACAAAAGACAUGUAAAGAAGUGCAGAGAGUGAAAGAGGAUUGAAGUGUGCGUGUUUAUUAGAAAGCAACAAUACCAAGAUAGGUGAAGAUGAAUCUUGAUCAGACAAGGCCGGUAAUCUGCAUCACGCGUUACCUGAGGUUCUUGUCUCUUAUUUCCUUGCUUGAAUGCAAAUGACAAAACAAAUGAUGGAACGACAGAAUUCUCGACUCAAAAGAUGAAACAACAAGUUUCUGUGCCAUUCUGCAAACGGAUUCAAGAGUUGUGCACACCGCAGCAGCAGAAGGCUUGGUAAUGAAAUCUGAAGGCAAAUAGCUGUCCAAGGUUUAAGCCAACAAAGCUGCAGGUAUCUGUACCCACAAUUCUUCUUCCCACUCCUCCAAAAACUGUCAGACAUUUUCCUGUGCUGCCGGAGACCAAGAACUUGAAUCCACGGUGGUUGAGAUUCGGAGGUGGAUUGACCGUUUUCCAAUCUGCCUGAGCUAAGCUAGUUAGGGACUUCAACAAGCGAAGACUGACCUUUCCCUGCUCGUCCACGGUUUGUAGUUACCUAUGAAAGCCUGUAACUGAACCAGAAUGAGAUCCCCAGCCAUAGUAUGUAUUGCCUGUUCCAACUGGCGACACAGAGUAUACUCCUCUGUCAUCUAAAGGAACUAAGUCAGAUUGUAAAGCAGCGACGAUGAGAAAAUCAUCGAACCCCGUCAGAUGAGGAAAGUCGGAUGAUGGAGGGCAGUCUUUGGUAUCACAUCUGGAGCACUGACCGCACAACAAAGCACACUUUGAGCUUGAAAUAUUGACAUAGGCUUGAGCAUGAACCACAAGAAGCAGCAGGGACAGAAAGAUGAUAUAUCUACUCAUUGGCUUGAACAAUUUUUUUGGUUUUAGCUAUCAAGCCCUUGCAUUGUGCUUGAGCUGUGGUGUUAGGUGGUUAAAUACAAGUUUAGGUUCUUGGUUUUAUCAUAUGAUUUUGACUUCUUGGUUUGGGAUUGCAUAAAUGAAGUUUGUGCCUGUAGAUGUUUACAAUA